UACGGGGGGGGCAAGCGUUGUUCGGAAUUACUGGGCGUAAAGGGCUCGUAGGUGGCCAACUAAGUCAGACGUGAAAUCCCUCGGCUUAACCGGGGAACUGCGUCUGAUACUGGACGGCUUGAGUUUGGGAGAGGGACGCGGAAUUCCAGGUGUAGCGGUGAAAUGCGUAGAUAUCGGGAGGAACACCAGUGGCGAAGGCGACUACCUGGCCCAUUCUUGACGCUGAGGCGCGAAAGCUAGGGGAGCGAACGGG
rnacentral:rRNA from 1 species